UUUAGUAAUCAGUAACGCCUACUUCCACAUUUCACAAAUUCAGACUUGUUUUGUGAUUUCAAAAGUGACACUUAAAUACAUUCAGAGCAUUUAGGGGCACUUAAGGAAACUGUAUAACCUGUGACACUCAAUGCUCACUUGGAUGUAUCUGUAAUUUGGAAGUAUGUGUUCCUGUUAUUAUAUGGAUGAGAAAAUGAUAAGAGAAAGUCUUGCUUAUACAAAUAAAUCCAGUAAUUUAGCAGCAGGCCACAAAUGAGAAGCUAGGAUCGCUGACUCUCAGACGAGGCCCCCUGUGAACAGGGUAAAGCCCAGGAUGAUAAAGAAAGGCCUGAGAGCUAGUUCCACAGUUAGGAACAGACCACAGGUCUCCAAAAUCCUAGGUCAGUGAGCUUCUUUCUUUCCACAAGGUGCAUAUUUGCGAUCAGGUGUUUCCCAAAAUGGUCCCUUUCUGGUGAACCCAGUGUCUUUACUGUAAGUAACGAUACACAGCCCUGUGAUGCCUGCUGUUAAUUUUCAAGCGGGGAGCACCAAAAACUCACCUAUCAGUGAUGGAAAAAGAUACAGUCAAGGGUACAAGAAAUCAGGGACUUUUGGAAAAGUAGUUGGUAGUUCCAUACUUGCAUAUUUAUCACAUGAAAUACAAAAAGGCAGAAGAAUAUUUACCUUUAAAUAUUUUUCUGCAACUGAAUAAAGGCUUCAGUGUGGAAAGUCCAAUACGAUAUGGCCAUAGUUCCCUGAAUUAAAACCCCUACCUUCUUUAUUUAUUAAUCACAUGUUGCCAUCGCUGUGGUACUAGAAAAUUAAAUUAGUUCUCACUGACAAACUACCUAAAGGAAAAAAAGAAAAAAAUUGCAAAGGCCCCCCAAAAUGUAACAUAGUCCCAGAAGAGUGAGUUAAAAUGUUCAUUUUAGUUUCCCCGAGGUCUAAAUUUUCUCAGGCACCUUCUGUGAUCUUUUAUUUAGAGGGAAAAAUAUUCAGCUACCGCCUAUACUUUCUCCUUCAGGCAUUUAGCCCCCAAAGAAAGAGGAAACAGGGAAAUAUUUCUAAAGAAAGCCCAAAAUUCAAGAAAUGAAGAAACAGAUUAAAAUGGAAGUGAUUUUUGCAAGAGGUUGAAAAUGGUGUCAUUUAGAGUAACCCUGGAUAUACAGAUUCCUUGUGACUAACUGUAAUCUUUCAUAAAGCAUUGGAAUUUGUAUUGAUGGAAAAAGCUUCCAACUAUAAGAAAACAAGAGCAACAGCAAUAAACAACACUGAUCUCUUUUCUCAAAGAAGCACUAUUCAUGGACAAAGGAAUUGAAGUGGAAAAAUAACUUCAGAUUUCAAUCUACUCUGUAGAGUGAUUCACACAAACAUACACAGGAAACGGGCUUAAAUGAUAAUCACCUGAACAAAGUACAAUAAACCUUGCGUAAUGGCACAUCUCCCUGGUCGAAGGGACUUCAUGCACUUAGCAAUAACCUAAAGAGGUCACCGAGAGGGGCAUCUCAUCUAACACAAGUCCACUUAACCACUUCUGCCAAAAGAGAUUCUAAAAAUGCUGAAAGGUCUCCAGAUAAGACUCCAAAGUCACACCCAGGAACACAUUUCAAAGCUCAACAGCCCACACUAGCAGGAAAUGAGUCCAGGUAGGUAACUUAAAUCACCCAUCCUAGGGAUUUAACUUGUUUCUUCUCUUUUUGAUUUCCGAGGGUAACUGCUGAUCCAGCUUCAGCGACAAGCUCUUGCCUUACUGGAAAUGCAUUAUCAAAUUGCUCUCAGGAUGAGCUGCUGUUCUGCUUGACCUUUGCUUCUGGUUCUCCCUUUACAACACUCCAGACUCACCGGUGGCUCCCCAGGAAACCCUCUGCAUCAUGAAAAUAAGUCACGUGCAGAGAAGAGCAAAGAGGCACCUUCAUAUUAAUUGCAAUGCACCUAGAAGUACAUCAUGGGGUCUCUGAGAUAUGCAGGAGUGGUGGAGGAAACCGAGAGCAAUUCUCAAAAGGAAUCGAACGUUGACGUGCUGAAAAAUUAAGUAAUCUCUCAAACAUCACACAUAGCUGUGAAGUUUCUGAGCCAGGAUUCCAACCCAAAAGAGCUGCCUGAUUUGAAAGAUUGUCCUUUUCACCACUUUUGAAGAUGGAUGCAAUGAAUCUAGACCAAGAAAAGAGUUGCUGAAGACAACCUGGGUUUGUGAGCCCAGCAAAUGAGAAAAUCCGUAUCAGCUAAAUCCAUUUACUAGUUUACUGUUGACUUAGUAGUGGGGGAUAGAAAAAAAAAAAAGCCUU